UCUCUUGAAACUUUUAUUUUGAAACUGAAACACGCCGAAAAGCGGAAGCAGGCUUCUGCACACCUGAGGUGCACGCGCUGCGUACACCCCCUCUGUCGGGCAUACGCAGCAGAGCGUGCGCGCCAGAGGUGGCUGACUUGAGCAGAAAGCGCAGAACCAGCAAGAAAGGAAAAGACAGAAACAGACAGAGUUAACCUGAGCUUGAAAUUAACCAAGAGUCAGCAGAGCGACUUUUCACAGGGGGAACAGGACCUGUUGAUUUUUCUAACUGAUGGCUACACACAGCUCUGCUGGACAGACUGCAGGUUACUGGAGCGUGUCUGCAAAUGUGAAGCCCCCCUUCAGUCUAAUAUUGACACCGUUAUGCCAUCUGCACUUCCCGCUACCUACUCUUGAAAAUGAUGUGCGCAUCUACUUCACUAUUUACGGUUCAACAUGUUUCCUGUUGCUCUGAGGUGUUCAGGCACGAGUCCGUCGUCUGGAAGAGCAGGUGGUGAAGAUGUCUUCACUGACUGAAAUGCCCUGAAGGUGGAAUUAAAGUUAAACUUUAUUUGAACAUAAAUCAGUAAAGACAGGCCUCCAUCCUGACAUGCAGUACUUGCAUUACUUAUGUAUGAUAUGCAUGCUCACAGAACCCAGAUGAUGCUAGCAUGUUUUGAAGCCAAUGUCUGGAUAGUGAAUGUGAGUAUA